CUGAGAUCAUGACCUGAGCCAAAGGCAGAGGCUUAACCCACUGAGCCACCCAGGCGCCCCUCAGCUACUUUUUAUACCCGAAAAGUUUAGAGCUAAGAGUGUGCUGACAUCUUCCUACUACUCUACUGCUAAAGAAUUAAAUUUAAUGAAGUGCUACAGGUGAAAUUCUUACCACUAUUGUUAACAAAUUGGUGUCAUAUCCAAAAAUUCGUUACCAAGACUCAUGCCAGGAGCCUUAUUCCAGUGUUUUCUUCUAAGAGUUUCAUGGUCUCAGGUCUUCACAUAGAGAUCACAAGUAGGCAGAGAGGCAGGCAGAGAGAGAG